rnacentral:sRNA from 1 species
GAAUGCACAGGGUGGGCCUAGUCAGAAGAAGCCUUUCCCCUGAAAUCCCUCUACUUCCCAAGCAUGCAAGCUUUCUCCUGCUGUUAAACCUGCAGUGUGCAAGGGACAUGGGCGGAGGGGUCCUUCAGUCAGGCUUCUCCCUGUCUGAGUGUGCACCGGCACAGACAUGAAGCUGCGGCUCCCUGCCAGUCCUGAGACCCACCUGGACAUGCUCCGCCACCUCUACCAGGGCUGCCAGGUGGUGCAGGGAAACCUGGAACUCACCUACCUGCCCACCAAUGCCAGCCUGUCCUUCCUGCAGGAUAUCCAGGAGGUGCAGGGCUACGUGCUCAUCGCUCACAACCAAGUGAGGCAGGUCCCACUGCAGAGGCUGCGGAUUGUGCGAGGCACCCAGCUCUUUGAGGACAACUAUGCCCUGGCCGUGCUAGACAAUGGAGACCCGCUGAACAAUACCACCCCUGUCACAGGGGCCUCCCCAGGAGGUCUGCGGGAGCUGCAGCUUCGAAGCCUCACAGAGAUCUUGAAAGGAGGGGUCUUGAUCCAGCGGAACCCCCAGCUCUGCUACCAGGACACGAUUUUGUGG